AUUGAACGCUGGCGGCAUGCCUUACACAUGCAAGUCGAACGGUAACAGGUCUUCGGAUGCUGACGAGUGGCGAACGGGUGAGUAAUACAUCGGAACGUGCCUAGUAGUGGGGGAUAACUACUCGAAAGAGUGGCUAAUACCGCAUGAGAUCUACGGAUGAAAGCAGGGGAUCGCAAGACCUUGUGCUACUAGAGCGGCCGAUGGCAGAUUAGGUAGUUGGUGGGAUAAAAGCUUACCAAGCCGACGAUCUGUAGCUGGUCUGAGAGGACGAUCCGCCACACGGGGACUGAGGAACGACCCAGAAUCCGACGGGAGGCAGAAGUGGGGAAUUUUGGACAAUGGGAGCAAGCCUGACCAAGAAAUGCCGCGUGCAGGAUGAAGGCCUUCGGGUUGUAAACUGCUUUUGUACGGAACGAAAAGCCCCGGGUUAAUACCCUGGGGUCAUGACGGUACCGUAAGAAUAAGCACCGGCUAACUACGUGCCAGCCGCCGCCGUAA
rnacentral:rRNA from 1 species